UACGAAGGGGGCUAGCGUUGUUCGGAAUUACUGGGCGUAAAGCGCACGUAGGCGGACAUUUUAAGUCAGGGGUGAAAUCCCAGAGCUCAACUCUGGAACUGCCUUUGAUACUGGGUGUCUUGAGUAUGGAAGAGGUGAGUGGAAUUCCGAGUGUAGAGGUGAAAAUUCGUAGAUAUUCGGAGGAACACCAGUGGCGAAGGCGGCUCACUGGUCCAUUACUGACGCUGAGGUGCGAAAGCGUGGGGAGCAAACAGG
rnacentral:rRNA from 1 species